rnacentral:rRNA from 1 species
GCACGUAGGCUGGCUGUUAAGUCGGGGGUGAAAUCCUGAGGCUCAACCUCAGAAUUGCCUCCGAUACUGGCGGUCUCGAGUGCGGGAGAGGUGAGUGGAAUUCCGAGUGUAGAGGUGAAAUUCGUAGAUAUUGGGAGGAACACCAGUGGCGAAGGCGGCUCACUGGCCCGCAACUGACGCUGAGGUGCGAAAGCGUGGGGAGCAAACAGGAUUAGAAACCCCGGUAGUCC